rnacentral:rRNA from 1 species
AUGAUGUAUGUACAUAGUAAUAUCCUCGAGCGCAAUGUCAACGAUUGUCCUAUUGAAAUAGAAGCACCAGAGAAAAGCUCUAGCCUGAACUACAUGCUGUUGUCAGCCAGAUUGGCAAAAGCAGUGAUGAGCACAGAACAAGUAAUCAAUUCAAAGGAAGUAUCUAGCAGAGAUGUACACACAGCAUUUGCAGGGUUUCAACAUAACACUGUUAACAACAAUAAAACACAGCAUUGUGUAGAUACCAGUCCCGUUGACCAACGAAAAGAGAAGCAAGCAAUUGUACCUGAAUGCAUGCACCUUCAAACCAACAAUGACAAAGAUGUCAGGGAUUACAAUAAGCGUGUUGAACUUGAUAUAGAUAUCAAUAUAGCACCAUCAAACGACGAUGGGAUAGAUGAUAAGCAACAACACAUUAAAGAGUUCCAAGACACAUUGCACCCAUUAGACACUGCAAGGCAAAAGUACUUCUUUGCAGACGAUAUGACACCUAGCUGCAGGUUACUUCCAGACCAUGAUGAUUGUGGCAAUCAAAUAACAGAGCCAGAAUUGUGGCGCCCAUUACAGAUGAACUCGGAAGAAUAUAAUGCUCAAAUAGAGGAAGCAAAGAAGAAAUAUACAUGGAAUGGAAGCAAGGAUGAGCAAGAAGUGCAGGGAGAUUCGUCCAUACACUGUGCCCAGAGACAGCCUGUGUCCACAGCCAUUUGCAAGUACAGAGACUUUCUUCCCUAG